GCGCGCAAAUUACCCAAUCCUGACACGGGGAGGUAGUGACAAUAAAUAACAAUACCGGGCGCGUUAGUGUCUGGUAAUUGGAAUGAGUACAAUCUAAAUCCCCUAACGAGGAUCCAUUGGAGGGCAAGUCUGGUGCCAG
rnacentral:rRNA from 1 species